AGUGAACGCUGGCGGUAGGCCUAACACAUGCAAGUCGAACGGCAGCACAGUAAGAGCUUGCUCUUACGGGUGGCGAGUGGCGGACGGGUGAGGAAUACAUCGGAAUCUACUUUUUCGUGGGGGAUAACGUAGGGAAACUUACGCUAAUACCGCAUACGACCUACGGGUGAAAGCAGGGGAUCUUCGGACCUUGCGCGAUUGAAUGAGCCGAUGUCGGAUUAGCUAGUUGGCGGGGUAAAGGCCCACCAAGGCGACGAUCCGUAGCUGGUCUGAGAGGAUGAUCAGCCACACUGGAACUGAGACACGGUCCAGACUCCUACGGGAGGCAGCAGUGGGGAAUAUUGGACAAUGGGCGCAAGCCUGAUCCAGCCAUACCGCGUGGGUGAAGAAGGCCUUCGGGUUGUAAAGCCCUUUUGUUCGGGAAGAAAAGCAGCAGGUUAAUACCCCGCUGUUCUGACGGUACCCAAAGAAUAAGCACCGGCUAACUUCGUG
rnacentral:rRNA from 1 species